rnacentral:rRNA from 1 species
CCUACGGGUGGCAGCAGUGGGGAAUAUUGCACAAUGGGGGAAACCCUGAUGCAGCGACGCCGCGUGAGCGAAGAAGUAUUUCGUUAUGUAAAGCUCUAUCAGCAGGGAAGAAAAUGACGGUACCUGAGUAAGAAGCCCCGGCUAACUACGUGCCAGCAGCCGCGGUAAUACGUAGGGGGCAAGCGUUAUCCGGAUUUACUGGGUGUAAAGGGAGCGUAGACGGCAGUGCAAGUCUGGUGUGAAAGGCGGGGGCUCAACCCCGGGACUGCACUUGAAACUGUGUGGCUGGAGUGCCGGAGAGGUAGGUGGAAUUCCUAGUGUAGCGGUGAAAUGCGUAGAUAUUAGGAGGAACACCAGUGGCGAAGGCGGCUUGCUGGACGGUAACUGACGUUGAGGCUCGAAAGCGUGGGGAGCAAACAGGAAUAGAUACCCUAGUAGUC